GGGACUGAGUGUGGGGAGCGGACUGAGGCCGAGCGGGGUUGCUGGACCGCAGUUGAUUCUCGGGCAUUUCUCGGCCUCCGAGAGCGGUUCGGCGUCCCGGUGGAAGCGGAGCUGCAGUUUCGCCAUCUUCAGCUCGCCAAGCGCCAGCAGCGGCUUCUGCUCGGCCUGGCCGCCCGUGCGGCGGUGGAGGGACUCCCGACGCGGGGUGGGGCGGUCACCGAGGGUGGUGCGGGACGGCGAGGCCGAGCAGCCUGCGGCUGAGGGCGGCCUGGGGGAGCGAGGAGUUUCGGUAGCGUUUCCUAAUAGGAUUCAUGGGGCUGUGAGAGGAAAAACUGAAUAGGCUGAGAUGAUAGAACAAUGUCCUCUCUGACUACAGAAAAGCACUCUCAAAUUUCCGUACCACUACUUGAAGUGUGGUGAUGCUUUUAAAGCAGACAUUUUCCGUGGCCUUAACUGCUCGCAGGUCUGUCCUAAACCUGAAGUAGCCACUGUGCAUACCUAAUUUGUGGUACAGCCACGACUGACUUGAUUUUACCAAGCUAUCUGAUCUCAAACCCACCCACAAGCUGGAAGGCAUAGAGUGAUGUUAAGCAGACCCACUUCCUGAUCCAUCAUAUAUGGCAGAAAUAUACAUCAGAAUACAAGCAAAGAAA
rnacentral:lncRNA from 1 species